CCUACGGGGGGCAGCAGUCGAGAAUUAUUCACAAUGGGGGAAACCCUGAUGGUGCGACGCCGCGUGGGGGAAUGAAGGUCUUCGGAUUGUAAACCCCUGUCAUGUGGGAGCAAAUUAAAAAGAUAGUACCACAAGAGGAAGAGACGGCUAACUCUGUGCCAGCAGCCGCGGUAAUACGGAGGUCUCAAGCGUUGUUCGGAAUCACUGGGCGUAAAGCGUGCGUAGGCUGUUGCGUAAGUCGUGUGUGAAAGGCGCGGGCCCAACCCGCGGACGGCACAUGAUACUGCGAGACUCGAGUAAUGGAGGGGGAACCGGAAUUCUCGGUGUAGCAGUGAGAUGCGUAGAUAUCGAGAGGAACACUCGUGGCGAAGGCGGGUUCCUGGACAUUAACUGACGCUGAGGCACGAAGGCCAGGGGAGCGAAAGGGAUUAGAUACCCCGGUAGUC
rnacentral:rRNA from 1 species